AGUGGAGUUACUGGGUCAUAUGGUAAUUCAAUGUUUUAACUUUUUGAGGAACUGCCAAACUCUUUUCCAAAGUGGCUGCACCUUUCACAUUCCCACCAGGAAU
rnacentral:pre_miRNA from 1 species